GAAAUGCGAUAAGUAAUGUGAAUUGCAGAAUUCAGUGAAUCAUCGAAUCUUUGAACGCACAUUGCGCCCGCCAGUAUUCUGGCGGGCAUGCCUGUUCGAGCGUCAUUUCAACCAUCAAGCCCCGCGCUUGUGUUGGGGACCUGCGGCUGCCGCAGGCCCUGAAAACCAGUGGCGGGCUCGCUGUCACACCGGGCGUAGUAGAUUUUAUCUCGCUCAGGGCGUGCUGCGGGUUCCGGCCGUUAAAAAGUCUUUUUUACCCAAGGUUGACCUCGGAUCAGGUAGGAAGACCCGCUGAACUUAAGC
rnacentral:misc_RNA from 1 species